CCUGCAUCGGAAUCCUGCCUGCCUGCAAAUCACGACGGACACGUCCCCUUUAAGAGAACCAGGAAGUGCAUGGGAGCAGAAAAAGGGGCGGUGCUUCAGGGCGGGGAGGUGCGUUGUGAGGAAACAGGUGUGUGUGCUGACAGGGUGAUGUCAUUGUGUGGCGGAGUCACCUGGGAGCAAAGCGUGGACACAGAUAGAGGAAGAGGAGGCCACGAGAAGCUUCAUCACUCCUGUUUUCUCCCCGAGGAGGCGCUGGUGUGAGGAGGAGCAGGAGGAGGAGGCGUUAGAAUACUGCUGCCUGUCAAGCCUCCUCUGAUGCGCAGUAGGAACAUUGACUUCACGGCUGCGGUGUGUUGAUGACUUGGAGUGUCAGGCUGAGAUGUUCCUUCCUGUCGACCGUCUUUACAUCCACAGCUGACGAGUCGCUGCAGACGUCGCGCAGGGACACGACGAAGGAGCUAAUUCCUCCUUUCACUGGGUGGAAUCAUUAGGCCCCAAAUCUUCCCCCCAGACUGACUGCCAACGAGGUCAGCAGCGAGAGAAGCUUCACGUCCUGUGCCCAGAAAGCUUCUUAGAAAAUAUCUUACUUUAGUGAUUCUCUUGUGGAAAUGAAAGAUUUAAUUUGAAUCCUUAGGAGACGAAACAUAAGUGAUUUAUCUUUUAAAAAGUCAAAGAAUGAGGUUAAAUGACCUCAUUUUGUCCUUCAUCCUCCUCCUCUCCAUCACACACCUUUCACACAUGUAUAUUAAUAUGAUUUUAUAUUAAUCGUGCAGCUGAAAGUCCUUGACUGAAAGAAAACAAAGACCUUGCAAAAUCUUCAACCUUUAAUUCAACUUUAAAUGCUUUGUAAAGUUAUGAAUUUGUAACGUUAUGAAUUUGUAAAGUUUUGUAUUUGGUGAAAGCUUCUGAAAUGUGAGAAGCUGCUUUCAGUGUUUUAU